UACGGAGGGUGCAAGCGUUAUCCGGAUUCACUGGGUUUAAAGGGUGCGUAGGUGGGCAGGUAAGUCAGUGGUGAAAUCUCCGAGCUUAACUCGGAAACUGCCAUUGAUACUAUCUUUCUUGAAUACCGUGGAGGUCAGCGGAAUAUGUCAUGUAGCGGUGAAAUGCUUAGAUAUGACAUAGAACACCAAUUGCGAAGGCAGCUGGCUACACGAAUAUUGACACUGAUGCACGAAAGCGUGGGGAUCAAACAGG
rnacentral:rRNA from 2 species